ACGGAUGGACCUAUUGGACGAGAA
rnacentral:miRNA from 1 species